rnacentral:misc_RNA from 1 species
GGAAGGAUCAUUACUGAGCUAAAACCUAAGCUUGGUUGCAAUUUGGGCCGCGCCUCUGGCCACGGUAGUCUCCGACUCUUUUCGCCUCUGACGACCGGUUUGCACCUCGCUCCAGCAUGCUCACGUAUGCGGGAAACAAGCAGCGUCUCUUGCUUGUCGCACGGGGAAGUUUGUGGUAGCUACGCGCUGCUGCCUAUGAAACCGUGGGUGCGCCGAGGAAAGCAGCUAAUUCGAACUGACUCUUGCGGAUAAUGCGUUCUGUUGUCUGCUUCGCCCGGAGAUUUAGCGGCUAGUACUCGGUACGUUGUGUGUCUUGGUGGUGCAGCUGGUUGACUUGUAGUUACGUCCUAUGACCGGUAUCGGACCCGCCUGGUUAUGAUACAAUGCCCUUGGAUGGAUACAAUGCCCUGAUCCGGCUGACGCCUGUUCAUAUUAUUUUUAACCACGAUUUUAAGCCUAACGGCGUAAAAAUACUAUUCUAAGCGGUGGAUCACUAGGCUCGUGGGUCGAUGAAGAACGCAGCUAGCUGCGAGACUUAAUGUGAAUUGCAGACACAUUGAUCAUCGACAUUUUGAACGCAUAUUGCGGCGCCGGGUAUCAUUCCCAGCGCCACAUUUGUCUGAGGGUCGCUUUUCGAAGCUAUCGUCUUUUCUCCGAUGCAUCUAGAGAGAAGUCGUCCCGCCGCCUCUUUCUGACCAGGGACGCGUCUCUUGCCGACCGGGAGAUGGACGCUUUGGUGAGCUGCAGAACGGCUCUUGGUCUGGAGCGAUUUUUCCGGACUGAUUCUGCACCUCGCUCGAAUGCAGGUCGCUGCCCGUGCCUCUUGGGUAGCUACAUCGCCUCGUGAAUGACAGGCCGCUCUCUGUCGAUCUGCGGAGGGUCUUUAGCGGCUUUCGUCAGCUCACAUCACGACCUCAGAUCAAAUGUGAGUACCCGCUGAAUUUAAGCAUAUCACUAGGCGGAGGAAAAGAAACUAACCAGGAUUCCCUUAGUAACGGCGAGUGAACAGGGAAGAGCCCGGCACCGAAUCCUUCGGCGUCGCGCCGUUAGGAACUGUGGUGUGUAGGAGAGCACGUCCGUUGCGGUCGCCAUUCCUAAUUCCUCUUGACCGGGGAUCCCGCAGAAGGUGCAAGGCCUGUGCGGAUGGGGUCCGUAGCGGUAUGAGCCUCCUCGGAGUCGGGUUGCUUGAAAGUGCAGCCCAAAGUGGGUGGUAAACCCCAUCUAAGGCUAAAUAUGACCACGAGACCGAUAGCAAACAAGUACCGCGAGGGAAAGUUGCAAAGAACUUUGAAGAGAGAGUUCAAGAGGGCGUGAAACCGCUUGGAAGUAAACAGGUGGAACCGGCGUUAGUCCGCUGGAUUCAGCCUAAUCUUGCCGGGGUUCUCGGCGCCCGAUUCUUACUGCCCUGUCGAGAUAUCCCGGUUUGAUGGGUGCAUUUCUGGUGGAUGCGCACCAAGGGUGGCGGGUACGCGGCGUGAUGUGGGCGGGAGCCGACCAGUGUUCGCAUUGGUGCCCUACUGCUCGCGGAGCGCGCGUCGUGGCCCGCCGCAAGGACGAGACACCCGCCUUUGGCUCGGUACCGCGGCGGCCGGGGGGAUCGCCCCGUCCGGUGUUCCUGUCUCAGGACCCGGCAAUUCUCUACCUAGCGUACUGCGGGCGUCGAGUCGGUGUCACGCCUUGGUGUUCCAGUCGGUCACCCACCUGACCCGUCUUGAAACACGGACCAAGGAGUCUAACAUGUGCGCGAGUUAUUGGGUUGCUAAACCUAAAGGCGUAAUGAACGUGAAGAUCGGUUCCGCCGGUCGAUAUGGGAUCCCCUGCUUCGGCGGGGGCGCACCAUAGUCCCGUCCCAUCCGCAUCGCCGGAGGGGCGGAGAUAGAGCGUACACGUUGGGACCCGAAAGAUGGUGAACUAUGCCUGAGCAGGACGAAGCCAGAGGAAACUCUGGUGGAGGUCCGAAACGGUUCUGACGUGCAAAUCGAUCGUCAGACUUGGGUAUAGGGGCGAAAGACUAAUCGAACCAUCUAGUAGCUGGUUCCCUC